rnacentral:rRNA from 1 species
UGGGGAAUUUUCCGCAAUGGGCGAAAGCCUGACGGAGCAACGCCGCGUGGGUGAAGAAGGAUUUCGGUCUGUAAAGCCCUUUCAGUCGGGACGAGACGAAGACGGUACCGACAGAAGAAGCAUCGGCUAACUACGUGCCAGCAGCCGCGGUAAUACGUAGGAUGCAAGCGUUAUCCGGAAUUAUUGGGCGUAAAGCGAACGUAGGCGGUUCUGUAAGUCUGGGGUUAAAGAUCAAGGCUCAACCUUGGGAAUGCCUCGGAAACUACAGGACUGGAGGACGGCAGAGGAAAGUGGAAUUCCCAGUGUAGCGGUGAAAUGCGUAGAUAUUGGGAGGAACACCAGUGGCGAAAGCGACUUUCUGGGCCGUUCCUGACGCUGAGGUUCGAAAGCCAGGGGAGCAAACGG